rnacentral:rRNA from 1 species
UACGAAGGGUGCAAGCGUUACUCGGAAUUACUGGGCGUAAAGCGUGCGUAGGUGGUUCGUUAAGUCUGUCGUGAAAGCCCCGGGCUCAACCUGGGAAUGGCGAUGGAUACUGGCGGGCUAGAGUGCGGUAGAGGAGAGUGGAAUUCCCGGUGUAGUGGUGGAAUGCGUAGAUAUCGGGAGGAACACCAGUGGCGAAGGCGGUUGCCUGGAGCUUUGCUGACGCUGAUGCGCGAAAGCGUGGGGAGCGAUCCGG